GUCAGUUUAGAAAAUGAUUGUUCCAUUUUGUUAACCAUGUAGGGCUUUUGUUUCUGCAGGCUUGUGACUAACUACAACGAGAUUACUAACCACUUCCUCCAUUGCAUAUACGUCUCCCUCGAUCUUCAGAAGCAGGCAGGCUCCAUCAUUUUUGUAAUGCGCGUCCUGAACACCAAAACAUGCCACCUUUUUUUACGUUGACGUCGAUGCUUUAUUUCUACAGUUGAGGGAGAGAGAAAUGGAUAUUCGUCGGGCGAAUCUGGUGGUAGCCUCAAACGAGCAGUCUCAGGCUCCCAACGGCGCGGAGAAGCUUUUUGGUGAUGUUCUUCAAGUUUUCUACCGUCCAGGAAUAGUCGAGCUGGAAAACGGGGCUUCGUUCUCUUUGAUUCAAUCUGAGACAGGUGCAGAUGCGGACCAACUCAGGACUGUUAUCGGAGCUCACGUCGCUAUGGGCAACCUUUUCACCACCAUUGAUGAUGACCAUUUCAAGUGCUCGUUCAACGGAUAAAAGUUGGUUGAGAUGUGGCGCACAGUACGUCUACUUCUUCAACGGGAAUGAUUUCGGUUAAAGAUCUCCGAGAAAUGACUAUCCAUUGUUUUUCCAUUUUGUAGUUUCAUUCUGUUGUCUCAUGUGUAAGUUUUUCCCAUGGUUUUGUUGACCUUGA